UACAGAGGGGGCAAGCGUUGUUCGGAAGUACUGGGCGUAAAGGGCGCGUAGGCGGCCUUCUAAGUCGAACGUGAAAUCCCCGGGCUCAACCCGGGAACUGCGUCCGAUACUGGAAGGCUUGAAUCCGGGAGAGGGAUGUGGAAUUCCAGGUGUAGCGGUGAAAUGCGUAGAUAUCUGGAGGAACACCGGUGGCGAAGGCGACAUCCUGGACCGGUAUUGACGCUGAGGCGCGAAAGCCAGGGGAGCAAACGGG
rnacentral:rRNA from 1 species